rnacentral:rRNA from 1 species
UACGGAGGGUGCAAGCGUUAAUCGGAAUUACUGGGCGUAAAGCGCGCGUAGGUGGUUUGUUAAGUCUGAUGUGAAAGCCCCGGGCUCAACCUGGGAACGGCACUGGAUACUGGCAAGCUAGAGUGUGGUAGAGGGGAGUAGAAUUCCAGGUGUAGCGGUGAAAUGCGUAGAGAUCAGGAGGAACAUCGGUGGCGAAGGCGACUGCCUGGACGAACACUGACGCUCAGGCGCGAAAGCGUGGGGAGCAAACAGG